rnacentral:rRNA from 1 species
UACGUAGGGUGCGAGCGUUAAUCGGAAUUACUGGGCGUAAAGCGUGCGCAGGCGGUUCGCUAAGACAGGGGUGAAAUCCCCGGGCUUAACCUGGGAAUGGCGCUUGUGACUGGCGGGCUGGAGUACGGCAGAGGGAGGUGGAAUUUCACGUGUAGCAGUGAAAUGCGUAGAGAUGUGGAGGAACACCGAUGGCGAAGGCAGCCUCCUGGGCCAGUACUGACGCUCAUGCACGAAAGCGCGGGGAGCAAUCCGG